rnacentral:lncRNA from 1 species
GAAAUCAAGAGCUGCUUACUGUGUUAGUACACAGAUCUAACUUUCACUCUUCUUUUAGAAUAAGACAGUUUGGGAUAAAAAAUGGAAAAUCAGUGCUGUGUAUUCUUUGAAUGUUUCUUGGAAUAUGACUAAAUAAAGCUGUCCCAUUUAGAGAAUGGAACUUGAUUUUUUCCCCCUAGAUCAGAUGCAUACGACUACCGGAAAUACCACAGUUAGCAUCCAAUGACCAAAUAUACCAUUGCCUAAGGACUGUUGUUGUUAACGUUGAUCUUUACAGAUUAUACCCAGAGCUUCACACAUGCCAGGCAAGGGUCUACCACUGAGCUUCCUGCUCCAGCCCAGACUGUUGGAGGAAUCUACCCACAGUGUUUUUCCAACAAUGCAUUUGACACCAUUAUGUGAUUCUAAAUCCAGGAACCACAGGGAAACAGAAAUUGAGAGGUGGCAUCGAGAAGCUAAUUUCGAUCCUGACCUCCAAGGACAGAGUGUUGCAUUCACGUCAGUAUCUCUCAGGAGAGUCAGGCCCAAUCUCUGAAAGCACAGGAGACACUGUAACGUGAGUCUUGCUGCUGUCGGGUAGAGUUGGCAAGCACAGGUUAAGGAUCCUGCCACGUGACUCAAAGAAGCCUGAUGUAAAGCAGCAGGAGAUGGGGGAAAGAGCAAGUCCUUUCUCCUCCAGAUGUGAAGGAUUCCUGCAGCUCUCACGAUCAGCAGAGCCUAACUUGGAGCCAGAGGAAAAGAAAAAUGGUAAGUUCAGAUUUCCAGUCCCAGCUUGAUAAAUCAGAUUAGAGAUU